GAUGAAGAACGCAGCGAAAUGCGAUAAGUAAUGUGAAUUGCAGAAUUCAGUGAAUCAUCGAAUCUUUGAACGCACAUUGCGCCCGCUAGUAUUCUGGCGGGCAUGCCUGUCCGAGCGUCAUUUCAACCAUCAAGCCCCGGGCUUGUGUUGGGGUCCUGCGGCCGUCCGCAGCCCCCGAAACCCAGUGGCGGGCUCGCUAGUCACACCGAGCGCAGUAGCACAUCUCGCUCAGGGCGUGCGGCGGGUUCUUGCCGUAAAACAACCCCCCCUUUUCACCAAGGUUGACCUCGGAUCAGGUAGGAAUACCCGCUGAACUUAAGCAUAUCAAUAAGCGGAGGA
rnacentral:misc_RNA from 1 species